GCCAAGCAGAGGCUGCAGUAGCUUUUCAAGGGCAGUCCAUUUUCCAUCUGCUGGGGCUUUAUUCAUCUCAUGACUUACCUGGAACUAAAGAAGGGUAUAGAGCCUGGGAUGUCUGAACCAAUCGUUUUGAGCCUGCUUUGGAGAUAAAGGACUAUUUGAUCAUCUGGAUUUGGAAGCCAUCAAUGGGCAGGAACAACAUGGAGGAGCCAGGAUGGGCAAAAAGAACACUGUUCUCCAAAUAUCAGGCAUCUGUGUAAUGAUUGCUGAUUGCUACUUCUGAUCACAGAAGGUCCCACAAAGAGGUGUCAAUUUGACUGGAUUCAGGGACAUACAGAUAACUUCUGGUGAAGCAUUGUUUCUAGAUAUGUCUGUGAGGGUGUUCCAGAAGAGACUGGCAUUUGAAUAACUGGACUAGGAAGAUCCCCCCUCACCCAGUGCAGGCCCAUACCAUCCAGUUGACUGAGGGCCUGACAGAACAAAAAGGCAGAAGAAAGGCAAAUUUGCUCACUCUCUCUUCUGGAACUGGGACACCCAUCUUCUCCUGCCCUUGGACAUCAGAACUCCCGGGCCUUUGGACUCCAGGACUUGCACCAGAUACUCCCCAAUUUUCAAGCUGUCAGCUUAGGACUGAGAGUUACACCCUUGGCUCCCCUGGUCCUCAGGCCCUUGGAUUUGGACUGAGCCACGCUACCAUCUUCCCUUGUUCUUCAGCUUGCAGACAGGAUAUUGUGGGACUUCUCAGCCUCCAUAAUCAAGUGAACCAAUUCCCAAAGUAAAUCCCUUCUGAUAUAUCUAUAUCUCUGUCUAUCUAUCUGUUUAUCUAUCUAUCUCUCUGUCUAUCUAUAUUCUAUUGGCUCUAUUUCUUUAGAGAACUAUGACUAAUACAGGUUCUGAGUGCUUUCACUUUUAAAAUGAAGUUUGGUAUAAGGCCACCUUCAAACCUAUUCUCUACCCUUUCCCUUCUACUCAAUGUUCUGGGGUCCUAUGGACUACAUCAACAGGUUU
rnacentral:lncRNA from 1 species